rnacentral:misc_RNA from 1 species
UCCGGUUUGUCACCGGCAGUCUCAUUAAAGUGCCCAACUGAAUGAUGGCAAUUAAUGACAAGGGUUGCGCUCGUUGCGGGACUUAACCCAACAUCUCACGACACGAGCUGACGACAGCCAUGCAGCACCUGUGUAUUCGUUCUCUUGCGAGCACUCUUCCAUCUCUGGAAGAUUCGAACCAUGUCAAGGGUAGGUAAGGUUUUUCGCGUUGCAUCGAAUUAAUCCACAUCAUCCACCGCUUGUGCGGGUCCCCGUCAAUUCCUUUGAGUUUUAAUCUUGCGACCGUACUCCCCAGGCGGUCUACUUCACGCGUUAGCUGCGUUACCAAGACAAUUAAGUCCCGACAACUAGUAGACAUCGUUUAGGGCGUGGACUAC